rfam:Bacillus sp. FJAT-27986 scaffolf3, whole genome shotgun sequence.
CCCAUGCUACAACCGCACACGUCAGGUAAUAAGUCCAUUAUGGCGCCUGCCGUCGGCGAGUCUUAGACAAUUA